AACGCUAGCUACAGGCUUAACACAUGCAAGUCGAGGGGAAACGACAUCGAAAGCUUGCUUUUGGUGGGCGUCGACCGGCGCACGGGUGAGUAACGCGUAUCCAACCUGCCCACCACUUGGGGAUAACCUUGCGAAAGUAAGACUAAUACCCAAUGAUAUCCCACGAAGGCAUCCGAAUGGGAUUAAAGAUUUAUCGGUGAUGGAUGGGGAUGCGUCCGAUUAGCUGGUUGGCGGGGUAACGGCCCACCAAGGCGACGAUCGGUAGGGGUUCUGAGAGGAAGGUCCCCCACAUUGGAACUGAGACACGGUCCAAACUCCUACGGGAGGCAGCAGUGAGGAAUAUUGGUCAAUGGGCGGAAGCCUGGACCAGCCAAGUAGCGUGAGGGAUGACUGCCCUAUGGGUUGUAAACCUCUUUUAUAAGGGAAUAAAAUACGGGACGUGUCCUGUUUUGCAUGUACCUUAUGAAUAAGGACCGGCUAAUUCCGUGCCAGCAGCCGCGGUAAUACGGAAGGUCCGGGCGUUAUCCGGAUUUAUUGGGUUUAAAGGGAGCGUAGGCCGUCGUUUAAGCGUGUUGUGAAAUGCCGCGGCUCAACCGUGGCACUGCAGCGCGAACUGGAUGACUUGAGUUCGCGGGAGGUAGGCGGAAUUCGUGGUGUAGCGGUGAAAUGCUUAGAUAUCACGAAGAACUCCGAUUG
rnacentral:rRNA from 1 species